ensembl:snoRNA small nucleolar RNA SNORA16B/SNORA16A family
CACGAGGCUCCGAUCGAAGCCAGUCGUGCUCAUGUGGCACGAAUGGUCAAAAGGAAGCCAAGAGUAAGACUUUCACCGACGGUCGCUGUGCAGUUUGAAAAUGGCUGCUUUAGCAACAUUUAGGGGGAAGGACAACC